rnacentral:rRNA from 1 species
GUAGGUGGCAAGCGUUGUCCGGAAUUAUUGGGCGUAAAGCGCGCGCAGGCGGUUCUUUAAGUCUGAUGUGAAAGCCCACGGCUCAACCGUGGAGGGUCAUUGGAAACUGGAGAACUUGAGUACAGAAGAGGAAAGCGGAAUUCCACGUGUAGCGGUGAAAUGCGUAGAGAUGUGGAGGAACACCAGUGGCGAAGGCGGCUUUCUGGUCUGUAACUGACGCUGAGGCGCGAAAGCGUGGGGAGCAAACAGGAUUAGAUACCCUGGUAGUCCACGCCGUAAACGAUGAGUGCUAAGUGUUAGGGGGGUUUCCGCCCCCCUUAGUGCUGCAGCCAACGCAUUAAGCACUCCGCCUGGGAGUACGGCCGCAAGGCUG